UACGAACGGUCCAAACGUUAUUCGGAAUCACUGGGCUUAAAGCGUCCGUAGGCGGCUCGGAAAGUAGGGUGUGAAAUCCCACGGCUCAACCGUGGAACUGCGCUCUAAACUAUCGAGCUUGAGGAAGAUAGAGGUAAGCGGAACUGAUGGUGGAGCGGUGAAAUGCGUUGAUAUCAUCAGGAACACCGGUGGCGAAGGCGGCUUACUGGGUCUUUUCUGACGCUGAGGGACGAAAGCUAGGGUAGCGAACGGG
rnacentral:rRNA from 1 species